rnacentral:misc_RNA from 1 species
UUUCCGUAGGUGAACCUGCGGAAGGAUCAUUAUUGAAUGAAACACUUCUGGUUUUAUGCUGUUGUGCUGGCCCUUUGGGCAAUGUGCACACGGCUCUGGUCACUUGUUUCUUCUGUCCCACCUGUGCACUGCCUGUAGACACGCUGUGUCUAUGAUAUUUGUUAACACACAACAAUGUUAGUUGGCAUGUUAUAUAUAAUAAUAAAAUAUACAACUUUCAACAACGGAUCUCUUGGCUCUC